UGUGGAGGGUUGAAUAAUGAUGAUAUGGUUUUUGGGAUGAGAAACCAGGAAUGAGUAAUCCACCAUGCUCGACGCCAUCCAGUCAUCUUUCCACAGGUGGACUUCUGCAUUUGUUUGACAGAGACGGAUAUCACUUCCACUGCAAGAGGCUGUGCAUGCCGGCCUUCCUCAUCUCAGAUGGUGCGAAUUCAAGUAACAUCAGAUCGCCCUGCCACCCGAUAAAGCUGCUCUUUUUCCAUGACCUUACAAAAUUUUGCGUUGUAACUUCUUAUUGUUAAAUCUCAACUUUUAAUUAUCUGUUUUGCUUUCCAAAUCAUUGACCAUUUGACAGUAAGCCGCAAGUUAUGUGGAUCGGUUCAACAUACAGGUCUAUUGUCGAAUCUUAUAAUUGAUACUUAUAACAUGGGGAUGAAUUAUUGGUGGCUGUCAUUCUUUAGUUAGGGGACUGGGUUUAUCCAAAUUUAUAUUAUUGUAUUUUUUAUUUGAGUUAUUUAUUGAGGUUUUAUAUAUAUUGAAC
rnacentral:lncRNA from 1 species